rnacentral:rRNA from 1 species
UGCCAGCCGCCGCGGUAAUACGUAUGGUGCAAGCGUUAUCCGGAAUUACUGGGCGUAAAGCGCACGUAGGCGGAUCGUUAAGUGAGGGGUGAAAUCCCAGGGCUCAACCCUGGAACUGCCUUUCAUACUGGCGAUCUUGAGUUCGAGAGAGGUGAGUGGAAUUCCGAGUGUAGAGGUGAAAUUCGUAGAUAUUCGGAGGAACACCAGUGGCGAAGGCGGCUCACUGGCUCGAUACUGACGCUGAGGUGCGAAAGCGUGGGGAGCGAACAGGAUUAGAUA